rnacentral:rRNA from 1 species
AUUGAACGCUGGCGGCAUGCCUUACACAUGCAAGUCGAACGGCAGCGGGGGAGCUUGCUCCUGCCGGCGAGUGGCGAACGGGUGAGUAAUGCAUCGGAACGUGUCCUGUUGUGGGGGAUAACUGAUCGAAAGAUCAGCUAAUACCGCAUGAGACCUGAGGGUGAAAGCGGGGGAUCGAAAGACCUCGCGCGACAGGAGCGGCCGAUGUCUGAUUAGCUAGUUGGUGAGAUAAAAGCUUACCAAGGCGACGAUCAGUAGCUGGUCUGAGAGGAUGAUCAGCCACAUUGGGACUGAGACACGGCCCAGACUCCUACGGGAGGCAGCAGUGGGGAAUUUUGGACAAUGGGGGAAACCCUGAUCCAGCCAUGCCGCGUGCGGGAUGAAGGCCUUCGGGUUGUAAACCGCUUUUGUCAGAGACGAAAAGGGACGUACGAAUAAUACGUUCCGCUGACGGUAUCUGAAGAAUAAGCACCGGCUAACUACGUG